CUGACAUUGGGUGUUAGCAGAUAUACUAAAACUGGAACACUACAGAGAACAUUGGCAUGUCUCAUGCAAAGGGAUGACACGCAAAUUUGUGAAGCAUUCCAUACACCC